GAGAAGGGGCGGGGCCGAAGCCGGUUGCCAGGGUGUCGCGGAGCGGCUGGGAAGGAGGGGCUGGGAAUCUUGGAGCCCCUUGGCCCGCGGGGAAAGCGGGUGACCCGCCCUGCAAGUGGGAUGCCCCCUUCGGCCUUCUGGAGCGCAGGUGGGGGCGCGCGCCCAUCGGGGGCUCGCACUGCACGGAGGGUCGCGGUGCCGGGGAGCUGAGGUUGGAGGAUGCAGGGCGGCGGCCCUGGUGCACCGUGGGGGAGUUCGCACGCCGGGCAGCGAUCUUCUGCCGGGACCUGGCGUUCUUCACACACGGCUUAUUCGUGACGGAUCCACAGAGCAAUGCACUCUGAAGCCGGAGGGUAGAAAGUGCUGGAAUGCGCGCCCGGGCCCAGGCUGUCGCGAGCCUUCAGCAAGCCAGUGCACACAGAGAGGGCUGCCCAGAGAUCCCGGUCAGCGCUCGCAGUUCGAGGUGGAACAUGGAGGCUGUCUCCCCGGCAAGGGUGCCCACUGCAAGCACAGGCGUGAGAAAUGGCCCAGAAAAGAGUGGUCAGGGCAAUGUGUUCUUGGCACGCCCAGCAAGACCUGCCAGAGGGACCUACAGACGAGUGUCUCCCAGCUAUCUUACCAGCGGGGACCUUGAGGUCCAAGUAUCCAGUCCGGUUAGAAAUGGCCGCGGAUCCAACAGGUGCUGGUGAGUGGGAGAAUACCCCUGAGGGAGGAAGAACAGAGGCCGGGAGGGAGCUGAGUGGAUGUAGAUGAGAAAUACCUGGACAGCUGCAAGCUGUAGUCAGUGAUGGGCAACUGGAACCAGAGAUUCCAGAGAGAGGGAGGGAGAAAGAGGGAGGAGAAGGGAGAAUGAGAAAGAGAGGGAGAGAGAAUGGGGG
rnacentral:lncRNA from 1 species